CCUACGGGAGGCUGCAGUGGGGAAUAUUGGACAAUGGGGGGAACCCUGAUCCAGCCAUGCCGCGUGUGUGAAGAAGGCCCUCGGGUUGUAAAGCACUUUCAGUGAGGAAGAACGCCUGGUGGUUAAUACCCAUCAGGAAAGACAUCACUCACAGAAGAAGCACCGGCUAACUCCGUGCCAGCAGCCGCGGUAAUACGGAGGGUGCUAGCGUUAAUCGGAAUUACUGGGCGUAAAGCGCGCGUAGGUGGCUUGAUAAGCCGGUUGUGAAAGCCCCGGGCUCAACCUGGGAACGGCAUCCGGAACUGUCAAGCUAGAGUGCAGGAGAGGAAGGUAGAAUUCCCGGUGUAGCGGUGAAAUGCGUAGAGAUCGGGAGGAAUACCAGUGGCGAAGGCGGCCUUCUGGACUGACACUGACACUGAGGUGCGAAAGCGUGGGUAGCAAACAGGAUUAGAUACCCGAGUAGUC
rnacentral:rRNA from 1 species